AGUGCACCAAAAUAUCUUAUUUUUUAAGUUGUUCUUCAUACUUUUUAAUGCGUAUCAAAAUAUACGCUCUUAUUCCUUAGGCUAGAGAGACGUCAAGUCCUCAACUAAUGUAGUACAUGGGAUCAGGCAGCUUGAAAGUCCUGUUGCCUGUGGUGGUUCCUAAGAUAUCACUCCACUGGUCUCCAAUGUUUCCAAUGAUUCUGUAUCCUUCUUCCUCCAGUUUCUUUCUCUCCGCUGAUUUGUAUGUAACUGCUGUUUUACCAGAAUAUGUUGAUGGUUCCCUGCAGUCGAAUAUUAUAUUAAAUGAUUGGAAUAACUUAAAAGCAUGCAAAACUGAUACAUCACCUGUUUGGUGAUAUUCUAUAUAUUAGAAUUAAUCCUCUAAUCUUUAAUCUUUAAUUUCAUUUUAAUUAUCUUAUAGUUUCCAUUAUUUUCACCAACUCAACCAAUAAUUGAGGCUAGAGUAUUGCUUUUUUAUCACUAGGCAUACUGCAGCUGCAGCAUAUAUAUUAUAGGUGUUUGUGCUUCAGGGUCAAAGAUUUAGCAUGAGCUCAUCCAAAGAUUUGGUGGCAUUAAGCUAAUGAACAAUUUCAUGUUAAAAACGUAUUCACUAUUUUUUGAAUAACUGGUUCACUUAAGAACUAUAUAUAUUUUAAUAACUAAGAUUUUAUAUAUAUGUUAUUCACAAUAUAUUCCUUAUAUGUUAAAAUUCAAUUACAUCAGUUUUUAACUUGUGAACUAAUUAAAUUUUAAUUUCUUGAUCCACAGUGGAUAAAGCCUCAAGGUUUUUGAAAAAAUUCUUUUAAUGAACUAGAUUUUUCUUUGUCAAUAGUAAAGAAACCAAAACUUUGUGUUGUUGUUGUACACAUGUAUGAUAUGAUUAAUAGUAAAAUUCUUUUCCAUCUCUUGAGUAUGUGCUCUUAUUAAGAUUCAAAGUUGGAAAAAGAUAACUUCCUUUCAAAAUAAUUUUGGUUCCUGUUGUUAUUUUCUUGAUACCCUAAAGGAUGAACAGAACCCAAACAAUUUUAGAAUAGUAAUGUGAAAAAAAAGAGUACUUACUUGAGAAUGAGCUUUUCCCAAGUGUAGAACCCAGCAAGCUUUAAGUUCUUAGCAGUAAUAUCCUUUUGAGCCAAUGGUCUUCCUGUUAAGAAUGCAACCUUGAUGCCAAUAGACAAGAGUUUGUUGUACAGUUUCAGAGACUCCGGCAGUGCAGGUGCGGCAGCACGGUCAACGGUCAACCCAUAGAUUAAACGCCGUCUCGUUAUAUAGUUCCAAUCUGUCAUUAAAUUAAUUAUUCAAUAAAUAUACAAUUAUAUUAUCGGAAAAUUAAUAAACUAAUUAUAGUGAAUGUGUCUUUAAAAAAAUGUGUUACAAGCCUCCUCUUAGCUAGAAUAAUUAAUGAAGCAGACACACCAUGUUAUAUAUAUAUUUUGUCCCUUUGUCAUAGAUAUCUUUCAUCCUGGUGCCACACAUAUCUAAUCAACGGAGAUUGAUUUACAACACAAAAUGCCAAAAUAGUGGAUAAUUUUCUUAAGAAAUAAUGUAUUUUCACUUUUUAUGACUGUUGAAAAAUUAAUGCGAAUGACGGAAUGAGUGUUUUUUUGGCGUUCACACUGCUGUGGGGCCUACCACUCUAUUGAAAUUAGACAUAGUCCACAUAAAAUUAAAUAAACAAUAAAUGACACAUAUGAAAAUGUACUGAUAACUUGUUGGCAUUGGUUUCAUUUUCUCCUCUAUAUUUAGGGUAUUUAUAUGGUGGUGGACCAUGCAUAUUUAACACACGUGACUAAGUGCUAAAACCAAAAAUGAAGAACAAAAGUAGACGAAGUCUUCCGUGGUUCAGUUACAAAAUGAACCACGGUGGUGCAAUUCAAUUAUUUCAUUGUAAAGACACAAAUACCCUUAAUUCCUAAGAAAAUUCCAUUUUUCUCCCUUUAUCCUUUCCCCUCUGCUGCAACCGCUAACAACAGAGAUCUGAAAAAUGGCUCUAAUCUGAACAUGCAAUUGUGAAUCGAUGGGAAUUUCAAGGAUGUUGGGUGUUUUGCAUUGAUUGAGGCUCGAGCUUGAGGUUGAUGGUUGAACUGUUGUUUAGGGUGGAGAGAAGGGGCUUUAUUUGUUGCCCUUGCGGAGGUUGUGACUUGACGGCGAGGACAGUGAGAAGGGGAUCUGGUGGAAAGGAUAAUAUUUUCAGAAUCAGUUAUGCAGUUAGUCGCAAUUUGCAAAUCGAGCCGCUCCACCCGACACCGGAGACACUAUACAUGAAGCGGCGAAGGUAAUACCAUGGAAGAGGAAGAAAAUAGGAAAUUAAAGAAGAAGGGUAUCUCUGUAAAAUGAAUUUUAAUCCAAACCGUUUAUUUUCUUAAUAAUAUAUCUAACGAUGGAUAUUAAACUGUAUCACGGUGGUUCAGUUUUUCACUGACCCACCGAAGCCAGAACCACAAAAGUAUCGAAAGAUAAAAGAGCAUACCAAAUUAAAGCUGCUAUGACAGAUUAGACAUUCUGCUGGCAUACAAUCGGCAUAACGAAGGAUUUUCAACGUUCACCAAUAUUUGUGGUUGUUAAAAACCGCUAUUAACAUUUAUGUUAAUUAUAUGUUGUCAGAAUCCGUUUGUUUACGUGUAAGAGAAUCUCCAAUGUUAGUUCUUAUUUCUUAGUUCUUAGCACUAUUUAUGUGGGCUCGUACUGCCACAUGUGCUUAAGCAACUCUAUGCAAAUUUUGCUCUGUUGUUACUUUUGGUUGUCUGCAUUCUUUCAAACACAACUUGAUGUCGAAGCAGAUGUUGUAAUAUCGUGCUGUGACAUUUGUCCCUGCGGAUCUGCUGUGUGUUUGACUGGUUUUUCUAGAAGCUUUGGAUUGAUUUCGUGAUAAUCAAGUUAGGGUUAUUGAAGAAGCUUCUAUUUGUUAUCUGGAAUAUAAUAUAGUGGAAUCAAAUCUUAUUUGAUAAGAUUUGUUACUGGUUUAAAAGAUUUGUUCCAGAUCUGUUUUAUGGACUCUAUCUUCGUGCAAGCCCAUUGAAGAUCAAGACCAGAAGAACGACUAUUUAAGGAGGCUUAACCCUAGUUGCAAAGGGUACCUUGGGCACCCAAGAUUGGGUUUUAGGAUUGUAUUUUGUGCGUCCUUGUUCUAUUAUUUUGUACACCACUCUACUGCCUCCAUUGAUCUUCAUAUGGCAUAGAGUUGGUUUGUUUUAGUUGAGUUGUAAUCUCUUCAAACAUGUGUUGAUUGUUGUUACCAAUCACUGUGGCAGUGAUUGAGAGAAAGUGAGAGGGGCUCUCAUACUUAGGUGGAUAUACUAAGUAGAAAAACACUGGGUAGAUUAGGAAAAGAACUAUGAACUGAGGUGUUCAUGAGUGUCUGUAGUUCCUAAAUCUUGAUAUAGUGGAUUUUGUAAGACCCAGGAUUUUAGAAUUAAAUAAAUAAUUAAUUUCCAACUCACGCAUAGGAUUUUGUGUCAGCUUGAGAGGAACUUGACUUUCGUUUGAUGGUUGGAGUAAUAUUAUGAAGAAGAAAGUUCAGGAAAUGACUAAGAAUAGUAUUAUAGUCGAUAUAGUUUAUAGCACAAGUAGUAUUCGAUUAUACCUAGGACGAGAGCGUCAGUAAACGACUAAUUCGCACUUAAAGACACGAUGAAAACUAAUUCAAAAAAUCUUUAGAGAAAUGUUAGAACUUCUCUAAAUCCUUUCAUGACAAGCGUUUCGAUACGAAACCCUGAGAUGUACGAACGUCUGAUUCUAAUUCUCGGAGGUUUGCCGAAACUAAAACCCUGAUAGCUCAAGAAACCUAGAAUAGACGGUUGAUGAAGACUUUUUCUAUUCGAAGCUUCAAACGAAGAUUCCACACGCGUACACCCAUUUCUUUCGAUGUUUCCAAUCUUUCUUCAGAAAGAAGUUUUCCCAUCCGACAUUCACUGCAAAAAGUAAUUUUUCGGGUAAAAUAGAUUUACACCAACUUUGGAUUGUCUACCUUAAUUCCAAGAAACCUCUUUUGAGUUUUGGAAUUCCGCCGCGAGAACCUAUCUUAGGAUUCACGGAGGAAUGUGCAGGAAAAAUCGGAAUCGCGAAAUUUUCAUUUUUCCGCGUUUUCCAUUUCCUAUAAAUUGUACUUAGCUCAGUUUCUACUCAUUUCUUGGUUCAUAGAUCAUUUUAUUUUGCUCAAAGUGAUUCAAAUUUAUAUUUUAUCAUUUCAUAGAGUUCCCCAUAAUUUUUUAUAUAAUAUAUUACUCUUAUAUUUUUUAUCUUAACUCUAUGAGUUAAAUCCUCCGAUAUCUAAACAAAUCUGUACCGGUUUACAAAAUAUCUUCUCAAAAUAUCUAUCCAUCCUUAUCCCUCCACCAAUCCAUCCUUAUCUGAUCUUUACAAAAUAUCUUUCCAUUUCAUUCACUAUAUAUAUGUUGUAGCUUGAAAGAUGAAAAAAAACAAACAAAGAUCCCCAAAACCCAAACCCGCGGCCAAGGAGGAAGGAGGAGGAGAAGAGUUUUUCGCCGAUUCUUGCCUGAUCGUCCCUGUAACACCCCGAUUUCGGUGGCGUCACUUUAGUAACCAAAAGAACUUAAUGCGGAAAAACGUGAAUAUUUUUUUUUUUUGAUAAUAGAAUCAUAAACUGAAAGAAAUGAAACUCAACAACAAAAGAUAACAGAACUAAUAUACAAUAAUAAUUACAGCCCCCGCUGUAAGUAGCAAACCACGUCACGAGUAAAUCUCCAGUGACGGGAAGUAAAAGAAAGUAACGCCCGUAGGCAAUAUGUACAAACCAACAGGAAAGGUUGAGUGUCCGCAACACACACCUUCAAAAAUGAGAAUAAGUUGGCCCAAACGGCCUAAAACAAGACCUCCUAAGUCCAACCAACUCUCUGUGAUCCCCGUAAAGAAACCACACAAAAAGCUAUAGGCGGGAAACUACCCUGUCCCCAAAGAAACAAAUGACAGUCAGAGCUAAGACUCUACUCCUACACUAAUCCUAUCUCGAGGAGCUCACACCAGCACUAAAACCUACAUGCUAGCAUGAUCGUCGUCUGAAUCUGAAUCCAGAACGACCAAGUCUACAAACACUAUCCGUCCUCCCCUCGGAACCGCGAUGCGCUCCGGUGUUGGACUCACGGGCUUAGGGCCCGAACCAUGAUCAUCUAUUAUAGCAACGGUGGGUGAACUGGACUCUGAAGAAGUCACUCCCACAGGCUCCUCCUCUGAGGGGUCCUCAUCAUCAGAAGAUGACGGUGAUGGUGGUGCUCCUAAUCCUGGUCCGCAGUGCACUCCGGGCGGCAAGUUGAAACUGACAGUGCACCUCCUCAGCACACCCUCCAUCAAGUGUCCUCCACUGUCCACGCGAUCCUCCAUGAUCCUCCCCGAGUACGUCGCUCGAUGGCUAGCGGGGUCAACCACCCAGACGCCGGGGUCAUCCUGAUCUAUCAUCUCAUAUCUAGUCCCCCCGAAGGGUGGACCAUCGUGAACCAAUCCGCUAAAGACAUCUGACAAUAGGCGUAGUCCGCCAAAGCACACACAGAAGACGCGAUGGUCAACUCCAAAGAAUUAUGUAAGUAAUAAACCCAAUAGGUACAGAUAAGAGAAUAGCCACUUAGGCUUAUAGCUAGAGAUAGCAUCCUAGGGUUGUAUAUUCUACAAUGAAUAUAAAUGACAGUAAUAACAAUUAACAUGCUUCAAAUAGGAUUAACAAUUAUCAAUCACACUCAGCAACUAAGUCAGUAUGCAUGUUGCAUGAAAUGCAGAUGACGGUUAACCCAGUUAACCAAAUGCAUUCCGGAACGGAUGGACAUCAACAGAUCAGCCCUAACACCAGCCACGGUGGGACCAUUUCGGCCCGCGUGCCUCUUACUCCAAUAACAACGGUAGUCAGAUCAGCAGUAAAUCCGAAGGUCUGCCAUUUCGGUCUGCUACUAAGAGUCGCCUACUAGCGCUCUUACGCGGAAAUCCGGGUCUUAUGACCAUUUUGGAAUCCACUAAGGUCCGAAGUCCGUCUCGUGUUAAUACCUCAUUAAUGGUGCAUGAAUGCGAAAUGAUUAGCCAAACAACGUCUCCGACCUCACUCGACACGUCGCCACGUGUUCUAGCUAAAUUAAUGUUUCUAAAAGCUUACCCUAAGGUAAAGUCGAUUCUGCGACAAAAGACACUUCUUUACAACAACACAUUCUCUCAUGAUGAUCUCCAAAUCAUCCGACUCAUCUCCAUCCGAUGGUCAAAACUGCUCAACGAGCAAAGAGUAUCAACAUACUCGGAAACUACCUGUUUCCCGGCUUAUCUCUCAGAUAGCCCAACAACACAACUGCUCCCAGAGCACAAGAGCACCAACAUACUCAAAACUUAUAAUUUUCUCAACACUUGGAUCCGACGACACUUCUCGUUUUCCAGAACUAAGAUUUGACUCCUAAGCUUUCCUUCGAGAUUGUUAUCAUUAUUUAAAGAUUUAGAGGUUGAUUAAUGUCUUAUGAGUUUUCCUUAUAAAAUAGUCUCCAUUUUGUCUUAUCGUAAAUCUUAUAAGUUUAAGGAUCUCCUAAUCCCAAAUAACUUCCAGAGAAAGUCUCGAUCCAUAGAAACAAAACUAGGCCCGAAUCCUCGUUCGUCCUGUCAAACUUCCUCAAAACUCUCAUAAAAAAAAUCGGCAUGACCUGCCCGUUAUUCUCACUCCUUAGUACCACAGUAUAUAUGAAAAGGCAUAGUUAAUUCAGCACAAUCAACCAACAUGUCAUAUAUGUCAAUACAUUCUUGAAUAACCACGUAGCACUUAGCAUAUAAGCAGAUAUCACACAUCCUAGAUUAACCACUUAGCACAUAACAUGUAAGUCACUCUCAAAAACAGUCAGUAGAUGAAUCAUCUACAUUGUCAGCCGAAGCCUCAGAAAACAUUUUUCCAGUCAAACACAAACAAGUGCAUAAACAGUAAAUCAAGUCGAAAGCAUCGACACCUAAGCAUUAACUAAGGAUUCAGUGAGAAGCCCUCACCUGUAGAUUCUCCAGGAUUCUCUUCGAAUGCUCCUACACAAUCAACUCCUUGAUCUUCAGGAAAUUCUUCAAAUGAACCUUUAAAGUAAAACCACAGAAUUCCAUCAAAAUCUAUCGGAAACUAAGCUAUCAAUACUCACUAAGGUUUCACGAAGUAGUACAUACUCCGAGGUACGAUAAUCUAGCGCGAAAGGACAAGUUUUUGAAAAAGAAAUUUUCCUCCUCCUCUAUAGCUCUCGGCCACUAUUGGUAAUUAGGUGGGUCGAUUUUUCUUCGAUCAAACUUGGUUCCUAGGUUAUCAUUAGUCGUAACUAAGGGUAUUCUAAACUCGGAAAAAUUAUCGGAUCAAAAACUGUCGCAGGGGUAUUUUGGUCAAUAUUUUUAACUCAGAAUUUCAAAACUGAAAUUUCGAAAAGCAAAUUGGAUGGGGACGUCACCAACGAUGUUUAUGACGACUAAUCCUACUAGCACUAAGCUAAGACGAUAGAUUUCAGCCCAAAGGACGAAACUUUGUCCAAAAAUGGGUAUUUGAAGCAGAAUUGAAACUCGACGGUAGUUUUUCGAGAAUCGGCGCAGUAUUAUUCGCUAAACAUGCUCUUGGGCACGUAGGGAAGAUGUUUAGAUAGAAAAAUGAAGUAUUCAGGAUAGUUUUGCAAAAACCUCAAAACUAUGAGCACAGAAAGACAUAGUGAAAAGCUACGGAAACGACGAUCAGAGGUAAGGAUUAGCGACUAUACCUCGAUACCUUCAAGUAGCAAUUGUUGAAUCAACGAUCAAGCAAGAAAUGAAGAAAAUCUCUUCUCCUCCUCCUCUUGUGAAGCUCGCGGCCUUGGUGGGAAGAAAUGGGUAAGUUUUGUGAUUUUUCUCAUCUUUCUUGCUAUAUAUAGAGGAUGGAAAAACACGGGAAAAGGAAAGUUUCGCGAUUCCUAUUUUUCCGGCUUCAUUCUCUGUGAAUUCUAAGAUAGGUUUUGGCGAAAGAAUUCCAAAACUAAAAAGAGGUUUCCUUGUAUUUUAGGCGACUAAUGCAAAGUCGGUGUAAAACUAUUUUACCCGAAAAGUUACUUUUUGCAUCGAAUGUCGGAAGAGAAAACUUCCUUCUGAAGAAAGAUUGAAAUCAUCAAGAGAAAUGGGUGUACGCGUGUGGAAUCUUCAUUUGAAGCUCCGAAUAGAAAAAGUCUUCAUCGUCGGUUGAUUCUAGGGUUCUUGAACUAUCAGGGUUUUAGUUUCGGCAAACUUCCGAUGAUUGGAAUCGGACGUUCGUAGAUCCUAGGGUUUCGCCUUGAAACGCUUGUUAUAUAUGGAUUAAGAGAAGUUCUAACAUUUCUCUGAAGAUUUUUGGAAUUAGCUUCCAUCGCGACUUUAAGUGUAAACUAGCUAUUUACUAGGGUUUUCGCCCUAGGUCUAAGCGUAUAUCGAUCGUGCUAUAACUUUUAUCGAUCAUGAUGCAAUCCUUAGACUUUUCCUGAACUUUCCCCUUCAUAAAUUUAUUUCAUUUAGUAAACUCUUGUUCAGGUUUCCUUUCACAAUACAUCAACCCUAAUCGUGAAUAAGAUUUUAUUCACUUAGCAUAACUUAAAAACUUGGGUCUUACAGUCCCACAGUUCGCUGUUACUCGUAGGCCUCAAGGUACUGAUGAUAAUCCUUACUUCUGAUCGUAAAUUCUAGCGCUUUUCUCUAUGCUUUUCUGUGCUCCAAGUUUUGAGCUUUUUGCAAAACUAUCCAAAUAACUUCAUCUUUCUAUCUAAACCUAUUCUCUGCGUGCUCAUGAGCAUGUUUAGCGGAUUACAUUUCGCCGAUUCUCGCCGAAUUGCCGCUGAGUUUCAAUUCUGCUCAUAAUACCCAUUUUUGGCUAAAGUUCCAACCUUUGGGCUUAAAACCCUCGACUGAGCUUAGCGUUAGUAAGAUUAGUCGUCAUAAUCGUCGUUGGUAUCAACCCCAUCUAAUUUGUUUUUCGAAAUUCUGAUUUUGAGUUUUCGAGCUAAAAAUAUUGACCAAAAUACCCCUGCGACAGUUUUCGAUUCGAUAAUUUUUCUGAGAGUUUCCCUGGCCUAGUUAUCGCCUAAGAAUACCUAGGAAUCGAUUUAGAUCGAAGAAAAAGUUCGGAAACCCUAUUUUACAUAGUGGCCGAAACCUAUUGCUUAAGUUACCGUGUCCAAAAAUAAUUUUUGGGCCUCUAUGACCUGAGCCAUUGCGUGGCUCUUUCGAUUGUCAAAAUUUUGGCGUUGGUUUCGUGUCAUUCCGAGUUCUGUAGCUCGAGUUAUGCUCGUUUUAGCGAACGAAGUUCUAUUGUCAAUUCGUGUCUUAAGAGGAACUCUGAAGCUUUAAAAGCUUUCUUCCGGUUUCGAUUAGCCUUAUUAGAUAGUGUUACUUCUAGUAGGGCUUGUGUUGAUGAUUGUGUUUCCUUGUUCUAGGUUCACAACUUCCAUGCCCAACUUCUACUCACGAAGGUAAGGGUAACUCAGUUUUAGAGUGUCCUUGAGUCUUGCAUGCUUUUAUUACGCUGCCUGCGUUUGGGAUGAAGAUGUUUAUAUUGAUUGGCAUUGGAUUAUGAUUAUUAUGCUUGCAAUGUUGUAUGCUUGCUUAUAUUGACUGUUUCUGAGGCUUGUGCCAAAUGUUUUCUGAAGGCUUCGGCCGAGUAAACUUAUUGAGACGUAUGUCUCCGUUUUCUGAGAGGCUUCGGCCGUUUACUGGUUUCUGUCUUUGAACUGAGUUGGUAUGCAAUUGAAUUGAGUUAUGUUCGUGAAUAAUAGGAAUAACAUGUGGUUACUCUGAAUAAAUCAUUGGUUUGGGCAUUGUUGUUGAUUGACUUGGCAUAUAGGGCUUGGUCUUGAAGUGGCAAUGUGGUGGUGAUUGUCCCACGUGAUUGUCCCGUCUUUUAAGGCGUUAUAAAGUGGCGGUGUGGUGGUGAUUGUCCCACGUGAUCGUCCCAUCUUUCGGGAUGUCCUAAAGUGGCAAUGUGGUGGUGAUUGUCCCACGUGAUUGUCGCGUCUUUUAAGGCGUUAUAAAGUGGCGGUGUGGUGGUGAUUGUCCCACGUGAUCGUCCCAUCUUUCGGGAUGUCCUAAAGUGGCAGUGUGGUGGUGAUUGUCCCACGUGAUUGUCCCGUCCGUAGUGGCGUUAAGUGGCGGUGUGGUGGUGAUUGUCCCACGUGAUCGUCCCGUCUUGAGAGACGUUGCUGAUCGAUCCAUUUUGGUAGUAGCAUAUAGUUGCAUUAUAGGGAACUAACACCUGACCCUAUGCUGUUGGAUUUUAGUUAUUGGUUUAUUGAUAUCUGAAUUGAUAUUAUACUGUUGAAGUUUUUGAUAUCUGAUUUGAUGUUAUAUGUUAAGUUGUUGAUAUAUGAAUUUAGUUAUGUUGCUAGUUUAUUUACCAUGUUAGGUAAUUAAGUUCGAAUAGCAUGAUUUUCUCUUUUAUACAUGGUAGUUGCAUGGAGUUAACCCUUUCUAUUUGCUAUUUGUUGUUUGGGCGCUUAACGCUAUUAGGCGAUGGUGAGCCUUCCGCUGAAGCUUAGCCGUUCGAGUUGGAGACCGUGACCGUGGGCGGUCGAGUAGAGAUGGAUGAAGCAGUUGCUUCUCCCUUUUUAGUGGACUAUGUCUGCGUUUCUUUCUCCAUCUGAAAACUCUGUUGUUUAAACCUUAUUUUCGCCACUGUUUCAGUGAGCGUACUUAUUUUGGUAACCUGCUUACAAUGUUGUAUGACACUAUUAUUAUAUGUCGGGAACGGGUUGUUUAAUAAAGUCUAUGUUAUGUAUUCAACUAUGUUUAGUUGUCUCGAAAAAGAAAAAAAUAUAUCGUGUUUUCUUAGGAUUACGAAAUAGUCCUUAGAUUUUGUUAGAUAACUAAUGUGAUUCCUUAGUUGAGAAAUUGGGGCGUUACAUAUUUCCUUUCUUUGGGCGAAGCCCUCCAGAUGUAGGUGAUGUUGCACCGAACUGGGUUAACAAUUCUCUGUGUUCUUUAUUGUUUUUGUUGAUUUAAUACUGUGCUGCACAUCAGUUGUUACUGUUAGUCAGUUGUCGAACCGGUUGUCUCAGCAUUGCGUUCGACAUUUGUCAUGUGCGAGAACCAAAAUUUCAAUUGGUAUCAGAGCAGACACCGUAUUCUGUUGGGUGAGCUCCAGGGAAUAUAUUCUGGUUUCAUGGACAAUGCCAAGGAAGAGAGAUCAAUAAAUAGAUAUGGUCUUGUGAUCUCAUGUAUCUGCUGCUGUUUAUGUUGUGCCUCUGAUAUGCAACCCAAUGAUGUGCACCGUUUGAGGGGGAGUUCCGCUGCUGAGGUGGAGCUAUGCUUAUCUUCUCUGAAUCUCAAGUUGUUUUAGACAAAAUUUGACAAAGGGGGAGAUUGUUGUUACUUUUGGUUGUCUGCAUUUUUUCAAAAACAACCUGAUGUCGAAGCAGAUGUUGUAACAUCGUGCUGUGACAUUUGUCCCUGCGGAUCUGCUGUGUGUUUGACUGGUUUUUCUAGAAGCUUUGGAUUGAUUUCGUGAUAAUCAAGUUAGGGUUAUUGAAGAAGCUUCUAUUUGUUAUCUGAAAUAUAAUAUAGUGGAAUCAAAUCUGUUGAAGAAGAUUUGAUUUGGUUUAAAUUGUGAAAGAUGUUAUCUUUUGUUCAAAUCUUAUUUGAUAAGAUUUGUUACUGGUUUAAAAGAUUUGUUCCAGAUCUGUUUUAUGGACUCUAUCUUCGUGCAAGCCCAUUGAAGAUCAAGACCAGAAGAACGACUAUUUAAGGAGGCUUAACCCUAGUUGCAAAGGGUGCCUUGGGCACCCAAGAUUGGGUUUUAGGAUUGUAUUUUGUGAGUCCUUGUUCUGUUAUUUUGUACACCACUCUACUGCCUCCAUUGAUCUUCAUAUGGCAUAGAGUUGGUUUGUUUUAGUUGAGUUGUAAUCUCUUCAAACAUGUGUUGAUUGUUGUUACCAAUCACUGUGGCAGUGAUUGAGAGAAAGUGAGAGGGGCUCUCAUACUUAGGUGGAUAUACUAAGUAGAAAAACACUGGGUAGAUUAGGAAAAGAACUAUGAACUGAGGUGUUCAUGAGUGUCUUUAGUUCCUAAAUCUUGAUAUAGUGGAUUUCCUUUCUUUGGGCGAAGCCCUCCAGAUGUAGGUGAUGUUGCACCGAACUGGGUUAACAAUUCUCUAUGUUCUUUAUUGUUUUUGUUGAUUUAAUACUGUGCUGCAUAUCAGUUGUUACUGUUAGUCAGUUGUCGAACCGGUUGUCUCAGCAUCGCGUUCGACAUCUGUCCUGUGCGAGAACCAGAAUUUCAUGUUCCAACCAUGAGUUCUUAGUUCUUAGUUCUUAGCACCAGUGUUAUAAAACUCGGACCGGUGAUCGACUCGGUCGAGGCACUGGGUCAAUGGGUCAAUGGUUCAACCACUGGGUCACUGGUUCGAUUGUUUGACUCGGUUCAUAUUAAAAAAAUCAUAUAAUUUAUAAAACUAACCUUAGCAUAGAAUAUAUAUAAAAUAAUAAGCAUUUUCUUUAUAAGAAGCAAAGUGGCUUAGUGGAAAUUUUGAUAGCUUUCCUCCCCCUAGGUCCUGUGUUCAACUCCUAGGUAUGAUAAAUUUUUAUAGUUUGUGUGUUUUCCAUUUAUAAUUAUACAUUAUUAAUAAUUUAAUGUGUACAAGAUUGACCAUAGAGCAACUUGGUCAAGUGGUUAUGUAUCUUGCCUACAUUCUCAUGGGACUGAGUUCCAAUCCUAUCUGGGAUACUUUUUGUUAAAUUAUAUUUAUCACAAGGAAAAACAGUUUUGACAAAAAAAAAACUCACUGGUCCAAAGAAAAACCGACCGAGUCGUCGGUUUAUCCCUUGAACCGGCCGGUCCAAACCGGUUCAUACCGGUUGAAUUGCAUGGCUGAUCCAUUUAAUGACUCGGACCGGUCAGGGGUCCGGUUCCCGGUUCAACCGGUCGAACCGGCCGGUCCGGUCCGAGUUUUAUAACACUGCUUAGCACUAUUCAUUUGAUCCCACAAUAUCAUUAUAGUAGUAAUAUUUUUUACUUUCAUAUAAUUUUGAUUUAAAUUUAAAUGCUAAUUCAAUACCUAAAUUAAAUCAAUUGAUGAAUGAGAGAGAAAAAAUUAACUUUUCAUGCUAAGAACUCAAAAAGUAAAACAUCUUAUAUAAGAACCUAGUUCUUAUUUUUAAGAACUAAGAACUUCACGUCAUCUCCUCCAAUGGUUAGGAACUCAGUUCUUAGUUCUUAACUAAGAAAUAAGAACUAAAAACCUUAUCAUAACUAAAUGCUAACACAAAAAAAUGAAGAGUGUAAGUAUAAAUCGGAGGAAAAGAGCAUACCCAAAACCGUGUUCAGCAUAGUAUGGGAGGUUAGACAGUGAAGUCUCAUCUAUGUCAAACACCCAAAUGUUCUUGCCAUCUCGAGUGAGAUUGAGACUCUUAGCAUAAAAGUAGGCUUCCUUACACACAAUUUUGGAGUCUGAUCUGUAUUGUUGGCCUAUCAUGUAGUUCCCUACAUUGUAGGUUUCUAACAAAUAAGGAUUUGUUCCUAACCACAUGUUUUUCUACCCAUAUAGAAAAUAGGAGCAUAAUCCUAAACCACACUUGAUUAACCCAUACCUGAAAAACAUGAUGAAGAUCUAGAGCGGAAGCGUACCUGAAUGAGCCAUGGGAAUCGCUGAAGGAUCUGGGGUUGUGAUCUUCCAAUUGUAGAUCACCCUUAGGGUUUCCUGAUGUUCUCCUCUGAUGGGGAUGAGGAGAAACUUUUUACGUUGUUACGUUGUUGUGUCUACAAUUGGGGACCAUAACCCUAUAAGUAACUGCAUCAGUUACAAUUCUGUUUUCAAUAUUUCUAAUUUGGCCCCAUCAAAUUAGAAUAUUGCCUUAUGGUAUCCGCACAAUACCUUUUCAUAACACAUAUGCCCUUAGCCAUAAGAUCAAUAUUAAAUAGACCACUUUAGUUUUGGCUAAUUAAAUAAUGGCCCUAACACAAUUAAAAGUUACAUUUGUGACCCAAAAUUCUAACAAUCUCCCACUGGUCACAUAUGUAACUCUACACAUGUGUUAGACUUUAUGAGCUCAAAAAUGCCAUUAUAUACCUUAAGCAUAUCCAAAUAAUCUCGUCCAUUAGCCAUGCCAGUGCAUAGAACCAAAGUGAUUUUCGUUAUAUCAAUCAUAACUAAACCCAUCAAUGAUUACUAGUACUGACAUAACUAAAUGACAUAGAUUCAUUAUGAAAUGUGCAGCAUGAAAAUCACAAGAAGGUGGCCUGUACUUGUCAAUUUUCAACUGGUCCUACUUUACUUUAGUGAGAUCAUUCAAUAACCUUAUUGUACAAAGCAUAAAUAACAGAAUAUCAAACUUUAUAAUUAACCAAAAAAUAUCCAAAUACUAGAGUAUGCAUGCAUAAUACCAAACAUAGAACACAAAAUUUAUAUAUGAGUAACUCCCACUAAACUAAGCAUUCCUCACACUGCAAAACACCCAUGUGAGCAGUGUGCUCAUGAAAGACCUUGGGCGGAAGACCUUUUGUAAGAGGAUCCGCUAUCAUGGAGUUUGUCCCUAUGUGUUCUAUAGAAAUCUGUCCACUUUGUACCCUUUCCUUAACAACUAGGAACUUGAUGUCAAUAUGUUUUGACUUGGUCGAGCUCCUAUUAUUGUUGGAAAAUAAGACGGCUGAUUUAUUGUCACAGUAUAACUUAAGCGGUCUUUCAAUUCCUUCCACAAUUCGCAGCCCAGUGACAAGAUUCCUCAGCCAAAUCCCAUGGUUAGAUGCCUCAAAACAUGCUACAAAUUCUGCUGCCAUGGUGGAUGAAGCUAUGAGAGUUUGCUUGGCACUACGCCAAGAAACUGCACCACCAGCCAACAUGUAGAUAUAGCCUGAAGUGGAUCUCUUACUAUCUUGGCAUCCAGCAAAAUCAGAGUCAGAAUAUCCAAUGAUCUCCAAUUGGUCUGACCUCCUAUAUGUGAGCAUAUAAUCUUUUGUUCUCUGUAAAUACCUCAUAACCCUUUUGGCUGCUUUCCAAUGAUCCAUUCCUGGAUUGCUCAAAUAUCUGCCUAACAUCCCAACUAUGAACGCUAUAUCUGGACGCGUACAAACUUGGGCAUACAUAAGACUCCCUACAGCUGAUGCAUAAGGAAUCUUUUGCAUUUCCUGAAUUUCUAAGUUUCCUUUUGGGCAUUGACUGAGACUAAAUUUGUCUCCCUUAGCAACUGGAGUAUCCCCUGAUGUACAAUUCUGCAUGCCAAACCUUUUAAGUAUCUUUUCGAUAUAGCUCCUUUGUGACAAUCCCAGAAUACCCCGAGAUCGGUCUCGGUGUAUCUGAAUUCCUAAUACAAAGGAAGCGUCACCAAGAUCUUUCAUUUCAAAUUUUCUUGAUAGAAAUCUCUUGGCUUCGUGCAACAUGCCUAUAUCAUUAGUGGCAAGCAGUAUGUCAUCAACAUACAGAACCAGGAAAAUAUAUUUGCUCCCACUGAAUUUGUGAUACACACAAUCUUCAACAACAUUCACCUCAAAACCGAAUGAGAGAAUUACUUCAUGAAAUUUGUGGUACCACUGACGAGAUGCCUGCUUUAGUCCAUAAAUGGAUUUUGUCAAUUUGCAAACCGUAUUCUUUGGGUCUCCUGACACAAAGUUUUCUGGUUGCACCAUAUAGAUUGUCUCAUCAAUGUUUCCAUUGAGAAACGCUGUCUUGACAUCCAUUUGAUGGAGUUCCAAAUCAUAAUGUGCAACAAGAGCCAUGAUUGUCCUAAAAGAGUCUUUCGAUGAAACCGGAGAGAAAGUCUCUUUAAAGUCAAUCCCUUCCUUUUGAGUAUAACCCUUAGCCACAAGACGAGCCUUAUACCUCUCCACAUAACCAUUAGAAUCCCGCUUGGUCUUAAAUAUCCAUUUGCAACCAAUGGGUUUCACACCUUCCGGUAAUGGGACAAGUUCCCAAACCUUAUUGUCUUGCAUGGACUUAUACUCUUCCUUCAUUGCUUCAAUCCACUUUUCAGAGUUGGAAUCCUGCAUGGCUUGCUGGAAGUUGAUUGGAUCAGCUUCCAUCAUACCAUUAUUUUCCUCAUGUUCUUGGAGAAAGACUAUGUAAUCAUCUGGAAUAGCAUUUCUCUUUUCUCUAGUGGAUCUCCGCAAAGGUAUUGGUUCUUGUAACACUUGUUCUUGAGGAUCUUGAGUUUGUUCUUCAUGAACCACCAUAUCAUCUUGAGUAGGAGGAGAUUCAACAACAAUGUCUUGUAGAGGUUCCGUACUUGCUUCAUCAGAAGCAACUGUAUGAAUCAGUUUUGGAAUUGUUACUGACUCUUCCUCUAAAGCAAAGUCCCUAAUCUUGUUCUCCCCUCCAAACUCAAUUUCCUCAAAGAACAUGGUUGUUCCCGUCUCAAAAAUUGUCUUUAAUUUGGGAUCAUAAAAUUUAUAGCCCCUGGAUCUUUCAGAAUAACCAAUAAAGUAGCUGCUCACUGUUCGGGAUUCCAAUUUCUUUUCAUUUGGCCUAUAAGGCCUUGCCUCAGCUGGACAUCCCCAUACAUGAAAAUGUUUCAAACUAGGCUUUCGCCCAGUCCAAAGCUCAUAAGGUGUUUUGGCAGCUGCUUUAGUUGGCACUCUAUUUAGAAUGUAAGCUGCAGUCUUUAGUGCCUCUCCCCAGAGUGACUCUGGCAAAGUAGAAUGACAAAUCAUACUCCUUACCAUAUCCUUAAGAGUCCGGUUUCGUCUUUCAGCCACACCAUUCAUGCUAGGUGACCUUGGCAUGGUGUAUUGUGGGACGAUUCCGCAUUCCUCUAGGUAUUUGGCAAAAGGCCCUGGACGUUGUUCACCUGAACCAUCAUAUCUACCGUAAUAUUCACCACCACGGUCAGAUUUGAUACUCUUAAUUCUUUUGUUGAGUUGGUUCUCAACUUCAACCUUAAAUGAUUUGAACACAUCCAAUGAUUGAGACUUUUCAUGUAUAAGAAAUAAGUAUGCAUAUCUCGAAUAAUCAUCUAUGAAUGAUAUAAAAUAUUGUUGACCAUUCCAAGAAGGUGUUGGAAAUGGUCCACAAAUAUCCAUAUGUAUCAAUUCCAAGACGCCUGUAGCUCUAUAUGCACCAAAUUUCUUUGUUUUGGUCUGUUUACCUUUAACGCAUUCAACACAAACAUCAAAGUUUGUGAAGUCAAUGGAAUCCAAAAUUCCAUCUGACACUAGCCGCUCAACUCUAUUUUUAGAGAUGUGACCUAGGCGCUUGUGCCAUAAUGCUCCUGAAUCGUUAUUAUCAAUUUUACGCUUAGUACCACGUGAUUCCACAUUCAGGGAUUCACUAUAGGUGGCUACAGUGCUCAGCAAAUACAGAUUAUCAUAUCCAAUAAGUGAACCAGUUCCAACAAUAUUUGAAUUAAAAGACAACUCGGCUUUACUGUUUCCAAAUGAACAUGAAUAACUUGAUUUGUCCAAAUUAGAAACUGAAAUUAAAUUCCGUCUAAAUGACGGUACCACAAAAGUGUCUUUCAAAUCCAAAUAAAAUCCAGUACACAAUAAUAAUCUAAAAUGCCCUAUAGCUUCCACCUCCACCGUCUUGUCAUCUCCAACAUAGAUGUAUCUUUCAACAUCAUUUGGCUUCCGGUAGCUUAGGCAACCCUGCAUUGAAACACUGAUGUUAGUAGUUGCACCAGAGUCUAACCACCAAGUGUUUCUAGGUACUGAAGCUAAAUUGACCUCAGAACAGACCAAAGCAAAAAAUGUACCUUUCCUUGCACGCCAAGCGUGAUAUUUAGUACAUUUCUUUUUCAUAUGCCCAGACACAUUGCAAAAGUAACAGGUAUCAUCCUCUUUCUGUUUCUUUUGUGCUGGAGCAUCUGCAGCUUCAUUCUUGGGCUCAACAGUUUUCUUUCUUUUGCCCUUGUCUUUAGAGGUGCUAACAAAAUGAGCACUUUCUUUCCUUUCUUGCUUCAACCUUUCCUCUUCUUGCACACAAAAUGAAAUGAGCUCGUUAAGAGACCAUUUCUCCUUUUGACAGUUAUAAGAUAUCUUAAACUGACUGAAUUGUGCAGGAAGAGAAAGCAAUACUAAAUGAAUGAGCAAGUCAUCCGACAGCUCAAGCUUUAGCGCCUUAAGUUUUGAAGCAAUAUUUGACAUGCCCAUAAUGUAUUCCCUUAUAUUUCCUUUGCCCUGAUAUUUCAUGGAAAUCAAGUUCUGAAGAAGAGUACUUGUUUCCGCCUUAUCGCUUUUUGCAAAGCGCUUUUCAAUUUCAGCAAGGAAAUCUUUGGCACCUUUUAUCUCUUCCGAGAUAGUACCCCUAAAGACCUCAGGAAUGCCGCGCUUAAUGAUCAUAAGACUCAUGCGAUUGGAGCGAUCCCACUUCUCAUAAUCUUUCCUCUGUUCAGAGGUACUAGAUUCCGUAGGAGAAGCGGGUUUCUCCACCCUUAGUGCAAGGUCAAGAUCCAUGCAGCCAAGAACAAUUUCCAUGUUCUCUUUCCAAUCCUUAAAAUUUGUUCCAUCAAGGAUCGGAACCGAAUUCAGAUUAGCAGAUAUCGAACCGAUAGUAGCUGAAAAUAGAACAAAAACAAAUGCUAUAAAUAUACUCACAUUAAGAAAAAUUGAAUCAUCAAUACGUUCAAAUAAUGGCAUAACCCAUCUCAAGAUACCUAGUGCACCAUCAAUAUCAUGUCUUUUGACAGUAAUACUAAUUGCUAGUGGUACUCUUGUUGUAAUGAUCAAACAUUGAUAAUAAAUCAUGUCAAAUAACAAACCCUUCUUUGGAUUGAUUUAUCAUUCACAUGUAAACCCUUAAAAUUAUCACAUGUUUAUCAUCACAGGUGUGUAUGAAAUCCAGCCAAGCAUUAACUUUUCCUUUGGGGUCCAUUAAUACUCGCAUGAAUAAACAUACACACGCACAAACUUUUAAUAUUUCUUAUGAGCAAUCUCCAUAAAAAGAUGUCACUUUUGUGUUUUUCUUAUUUUAAUUGACUCAUUUAAAAUAUCAAACAAUUGUAUAAAAAUACAAACCAUAACCAAAAUUUGAACACACUAAUAAUUUUCCAUAUAGUUUCCAUAUAUCCAUAUUGAAAACAAAUUUCUAUUGCCCAAAAAUAUACUAACAAAUACUAAUACUAUAGUAUCAAUUUAAUAUCCUGAGAGAGCAACAGACAUGCAGUUUUCGUUUUUAUAUUGAUUUUGAUUCAAAUCAAACCAUACGAAAUUAUAAAACAAAAUGGCAAUCUGAAUACAAUUCCCGUCAGUUAUACAAAACAUCAAUUCAAAUUCAGUUUCGACUUCAAUCUAAAUUCACACUUAUAUAAUCAAUCGAUGGUUUCUUGCAAUGGCAAAAAUAGAAUUGAAGCUUAAAUCACAUAUUGCUUGGACCGUAUGAACAAAUUGCAGCGAAGGUUAAUUUAAGAAAACUCAUGACCGGACAAAGAUUAUGAUCGGAAAAGACUGAAUUCAUAAAAACCGACACUGCAAACGAGAAUCAAUUACCGAAAAUUGAAACCCUAAUUUUUAGAAUUACCAAAGUCAUACAUGAAUCAGGCAUGGGUGGCUCUGAUACCAGUUGUAGGUUUCUAACAAAUAAGGAUUUGUUCCUAACCACAUGUUUUUCUACCCAUAUAGAAAAUAGGAGCAUAAUCCUAAACCACACUUGAUUAACCCAUACCCGAAAAACAUGAUGAAGAUCUAGAGCGGAAGCGUACCUGAAUGAGCCAUGGGAAUCGCUGAAGGAUCUGGGGUUGUGAUCUUCCAAUUGUAGAUCACCCUUAGGGUUUCCUGAUGUUCUCCUCUGAUGGGGAUGAGGAGAAACUUUUUACGUUGUUACGUUGUUGUGUCUACAAUUGGGGACCAUAACCCUAUAAGUAACUGCAUCAGUUACAAUUCUGUUUUCAAUAUUUCUAAUUUGGCCCCAUCAAAUUAGAAUAUUGCCUUAUGGUAUCCGCACAAUACCUUUUCAUAACACAUAUGCCCUUAGCCAUAAGAUCAAUAUUAAAUAGACCACUUUAGUUUUGGCUAAUUAAAUAAUGGCCCUAACACAAUUAAAAGUUACAUUUGUGACCCAAAAUUCUAACAUACAUAUCCUUCACAUUCUUGUGGAAUGGUUUUCCAAUUAAUGAUGUUGUGUGAUUCCACACCAAGCCUCCAACUAGCGCAAGAUACAUCAGGAAUGUAAUGGCCACCGGAGCCAGUUUUAAUCCGGAGAGAGAAGACUUUGAAGGAAGCCCCAUGGUCUGAGGAGCCAUGACAUGUUGCUAAAAUUGUAGCAACGAGGACAAGAAGUAUCUUCAUCCUCAUGUAUGGGUGCUUUCUAGUUUCUUGAUAGCUAGCUCAAGAAAGGUUUGCAUUUUGUAGGAAAGGGUUUUGUUCUUUAUAUAGGCACAUCUCAUAAUUCGUCGGUGUGUAAAAUAAUUAAAAAGUGACCCAUGUGCUUUGUGUAUAUUAUAAUUAAUUAUCUCUCUGCUCCUUGAAAAUUCAAAAGCAUUUGUCCGUGUUCAUACAAUUUUAAUUUUUUUUUUACUUUAAGUAUAUAUACAUGAGAUGCACACUACAAAUUACUAACUACUUAUCAUUUGGAAUAACUUGAGCAUAAACGUCUAUGCUAGUUUUUGAAAUAACUCAUGAGAAUACUUAAAUUGUUUAGAAAUUAUUUUCAUAAGUUUCUUAUAUUAUAUAGUUUAUGAGAAUACUUACCAUUAUACCUAUUAAUAAUUUAUUUUAAAUUUAUUUCAACAAACUUAUCAAAUUUUCUUAUAAAUAUAUAAAAGCUUAUCAUGGCGAGUGGGUUGAUGGUUUCUUUAGCUUUGAAGGCCCUGGGAUGCUUAUUUAGUAGAGCUCUUGGCUGUUAUUUGUGUCUUGAAUGUGGUGUCGGGAAACUUAUGAGCGGAGAGAAUUCUGACUUAACUUCCUAUUUAAUUAGCGCUUCCAUUUUAAUAACUCGGCUCUGCCAGAGUUGUAAUGUGCGACUAUCAAGGGAGGCCCAAAUCGUGACUUCAACAACACCAAAAUGGGGGUCAAUCUGGUAGCUUUGAGAAUAUGGAGAGGAGAGGAAAGUUUCUGAAGGCCUCAAGCACACAACAACACCUCACUUUCAUUUUUAGUCCUUGCAAUUUUCUUAUUACACCCCUAAAAAUUAAUGCUUUUUAUUAUUAGUCUUGAACGUUAAAUUUUCUAUCCAAGUUUGAGGGAAGACCAUGUGAAUUUGACACGUGUCAUUGUUUAAAUUUUUUCUCAGAAAGAAAUUACACAUGUAAUGCCACUUAAGAUACUAGUAGAUUAGUAAGAAUAGAUUUGAGUUCGAUUAGAGUUUGGGUCCACCAUUCUCCAUGCCCUCCGGUUCUCCCACCCCACCAACAUUCUCCUCCCCCACUGCUCUCCUUGCACCACCACCCCUUCUCCCUCCUCCACUCCUCACCCUCCUCACCUCUUCCCCUACGUACCCUCACCCCCUUAUAUAUCUUCCACCUACUCUGCAUCCCCCUUUUCUCUCCUCAUUCCCUUCUCCCAUCGCUCCCCCAUCUCACACACUACAAGAAACAAUGCUUUUAGUGACCAUCAUUUUCGUCAUUAAGAGCUUAAAAAAUCGUCACUAUGAGUAUUUUAUGACGAAAUUUGUAAUCGUCACUAGUCGUCACUAAUACUCGAGUAAUACUCGAGUCACUAAUACAUUAGUGACAAUAUUUUCAAAUGUCACUAAUGUUGAUUUUUAUUGUGACGAUACUAUCGCAACUAAUAUUUAUACCCAAUAAUGACAAAACUAAGUCGUCACAAAUGUAAUAUUAAUAGUGACUAUUUAAUCGUCACUAAUAAAUAUGUACAUUUAGAUAACCAUUGCAUUUGGCGGGGGUUAAGAAACCGCCGCAAAUGAAAAUGAUUAUAAAAAUAUAACGUGGCAGUUUUGAACUGCCACAAACGUCUUUAUAAUUUGCCACUAAAAGAACCCAUCAGGCCCAACAUCUUACUUUUUCAUUCAUCAUACUAAUUAGCAAUCGAAGACUUGUUAUACACAUUGAUCUGGGGAUUGAAACUUAAAAGACCUAUCAAGUAUCACAAUGUAAAACAAUGCAUACAUAAACAAAAUAAAAUUAUACAAUACUUAUGGAUAAAGAAAUGGGCAUAGGAUGCAACUGCUUCCCUUAAGCCAGAAGAAGAAAAAAACAGCAUACGUACAAAUGCUAAUUAAUAAUGUGGAACUAUAAUCAAAAAUCAAUUCCAGAAAGGUCUUCUAAGCAAUUUGAUAUGAGAAAAAACACAACAAAAAUCAUGAAAAAUCUAACGAAACAUAGAUAAAAAUAUGGCUUAAAUACUCUUUUGGUCCUUAAAAUUGUAAAGGGAAUUAAAUCUGAUCUCUGUAAAAUUUUCACAUCAAAUUGGGUCCCUAAAAUUGAUUUUUUAAUCUAAUUAAAUCCUUUUGCUCAAUUUUGACUAGUCAACGGUCCAGUGGAAAGCCUAGUCAGCUAAGGAUGGCCACAUGGAUUUUUUUCACAUCAAUUUUAGUCAUUUAAAAAAUAUUUUAAUCAAUUUUAGUCUUUGUUCUUCCACCUUCCUCUUCCACCUUCUUCCUCUUCCUCCAUAACUCAAAUCCUUAAAUCUAGAAAUUCAAAACCCUAAAAAAACUAUAUGUUCAUCACAUUCACCUUGUUCUUCCUUUUGAAUUUAUGGGAUUUGAGUUAUAGAGGAAGAGGAAGAAGGUGGAAGAGGAAGAAGAUGAAGGUGGAAGAGGAAGAAGAUGAAGGUGGAAUAACAGAGACUAAAAUUGAUUAAAAUACUUUUCAAGGGACUAAAAUUGAUGUGAAAAAGUCCACGUGACCGUCCUUAGCUGACUAAGCUUGCCACUGAACCAUUGACCGGUCAAAAUUAAGCAAAAGUAGUUAAUUAGAUUAAAAAAAAAAUUUGGGACCCAAUUUGAUGCGAAAAUUUUACAAGAACCAGAUUUGAUUCCCUUUACAAUUUCAAGGACCAAAGCGUUAUUUAAGCCUAAAAAUAUUGACAGAGAAAUGCUACAUUGACCCCUUACCGCUUUAGAUUGUUCUGGAACUCCAUGUUGUAACUCUUCCAUCAACAUUACCAUUUACCAGCAACUUGCACAAAAGCUGCAGAAAUCCUUGCCUCGGGAUUCAUACCAGCCAUAUUUGAUAAUCAAGAGUCAAGACAACCCAAAAGACCAAAUGCUUGUAUUGUAUGGUUUAAGAGCAACUAGACUAGCAAUAUUUCACAGAAUUGUACUUGAACUCUUCCAAGGGGAAGAGGCUCCCAUUGGUUUCAUUCACUGCGGUCUCUGCAAACAAACCACCAUUGUGAAUUUUUAUAAGAGGGCACCUUUAAGAGAAAAAUGUAUACAAUAGUAAAUCAAGACAUCAUUUAAGCAUAAAAAUGGAACCAAAGUGGAAUGAAAUGAAUAAAUUAAGCAUAAAGAUGAAUGCCAGCUCCAUAUCAGUAGUUAAUCACAGUCGAGAUGACUAGUCCCCUAGGUGCAUUUAGGCAUUUGCAAACCUAAACUCAAGAGAAAUAUGUUUUACUUCAUUUAUGAUUUACAAAUUUAAGCAAGUCCAGGCUUUACUUCAUUUAAUCACAUGGAGGUGCUAUACAACAGCUACAAAAUGAAAAAAAGAUGGAAUGAAUUGUGUACAACAUAUUAGAAAUCCACAAUUCAUUCAUUCAGUAUUGAGAAUUGUUAAUAGUAGAAAUUAUCAAAAUCAUGAUCUUACCAAUGGUAUGUAUUGUUAAGAUCAUUGUCCUCAAGAUACCAGCUUUCCUUCCUUUCCUACAUGUUAAAAUAUACCAAUUAAUUUUUUUAAAAAUGCCACAUAAAUUAAAGGCUCUCUUGGUGUUUGGUUCUUCAUCAUGCCGUUGCGGUUUUGAAGUGUUUGCGUGAUACUUGUCUUGGAUUGCUCCGCUAGAUGGGUAGGUGGCGCUGAACAUUGAUGGAUCGUCCUUGGGCAACCCUGGCCGAGAAGGGAUCAGUGGUGUCGCCCGUGAUGCGGUUGGCCAUGGGUCUUUGGCUACACCGAGUUCAUUGACAUCUCAGAAAUCCUAAAGGCAGAGCAUUUAGCGGUGUUGUUUGGCUUGGAGAGUUGCUGGGACCGUGGUUUUAGACGGGUUGUCCUAUACACAGAUUCCUUGGUUGUUCUCUCGUUGCUCCAGGACGGGGAUUAUCAGUUUCAUAUUUAUGGUUCUAUCAUUAGUUCGAUUCAAGGCCUUCUUAUGCAUGAUGGUGAUGGUGAGUAGAGUUGAAGCACACUCUUCGUGAGGGGAAUCAGUGGCAUAUCAUCUUGCAAAAGACGGAGCGCAGGGGUCUUUUUGAUUGAGCUUUCUUUAGCAUCCUUCGUUGGCCUUCCGUCCUUGUUGGCGGAUGACUACCGCGACACCUCGUUCUUGAGGGGAUAAUAUUGUUCUCUUUUUCUUUUUUCUUUAAGCAUCUUUGUACAAAAAAAAAUGAUAAAACUUAUUGUUAUUUAAAACCACAUAAGACAAAACUUCACUCCCCUGUUUUGUGAAGAAAUACUGAUUCAUUCACACUUUACUUUCUUUUUCAUUUCAUUUUCACCCUUAAUCUCUUUAUAUUAUUUUUUUAUUUCUAUCACAUCAUAUAUCGAUCAUAUCUCUCAUUUCUCUUUCUUCUCUUCUUAUAUCUCAUAGGUUGAGAUUUGUUUCAUGAACAAGAAAUUAUUCUUUAUUUCGUGUGGCUUCACACACACACACCACAAUAGAACAAACAAGUCACUUAGCUCGUGCCCCUUUCUUUAUUUGACAAAACAUUAGGGAAUGGAUUAAACAUAAAAUGAAAGGAUACUCGUUAAAAAGCAUUGAAACGAAAAAAUAACACAUUUUAAAACACUUUUUUUAGAGUAAUAAGUUGUUACUUUAAUAAAAAGUGCACCAAAAUAUCUUAUUUUUUAAGUUGUUCUUCAUACUUUUUAAUGCGUAUCAAAAUAUACGCUCUUAUUCCUUAGGCUAGAGAGACGUCAAGUCCUCAACUAAUGUAGUACAUGGGAUCAGGCAGCUUGAAAGUCCUGUUGCCUGUGGUGGUUCCUAAGAUAUCACUCCACUGGUCUCCAAUGUUUCCAAUGAUUCUGUAUCCUUCUUCCUCCAGUUUCUUUCUCUCCGCUGAUUUGUAUGUAACUGCUGUUUUACCAGAAUAUGUUGAUGGUUCC
rnacentral:lncRNA from 1 species